ACCCGCUGAACUUAAGCAUAUCAAUAAGCGGAGGAAAAGAAACCAACAGGGAUUGCCCUAGUAACGGCGAGUGAAGCGGCAACAGCUCAAAUUUGAAAUCUGGCUCUUUUAGAGUCCGAGUUGUAAUUUGCAGAGGGCGCUUUGGCUUUGGCAGCGGUCCAAGUUCCUUGGAACAGGACGUCACAGAGGGUGAGAAUCCCGUACGUGGUCGCUGGCUAUUGCCGUGUAAAGCCCCUUCGACGAGUCGAGUUGUUUGGGAAUGCAGCUCUAAAUGGGAGGUACAUUUCUUCUAAAGCUAAAUAUUGGCCAGAGACCGAUAGCGCACAAGUAGAGUGAUCGAAAGAUGAAAAGCGCUUUGGAAAGAGAGUCAAACAGCACGUGAAAUUGUUGAAAGGGAAGCGCUUGCAGCCAGACUUGCUUACAGUUGCUCAUCCGGGUUUCUACCCGGUGCACUCUUCUGUAGGCAGGCCAGCAUCAGUUUGGGCGGUAGGAUAAAGGUCUCUGUCACGUACCUCCUUUCGGGGAGGCCUUAUAGGGGAGACGACAUACUACCAGCCUGGACUGAGGUCCGCGCAUCUGCUAGGAUGCUGGCGUAAUGGCUGUAAGCGGCCCGUCUUGAAACACGGACC
rnacentral:rRNA from 1 species